GGAGAGGUGGCCGAGUGGCUUAAGGUGCUCGCUUGGAAAGCGAGUGUACCCCACAAGGGUACCGGGGGUUCGAAUCCCUUCCUCUCCG
rnacentral:tRNA from 2 species